rnacentral:rRNA from 1 species
UACGAAGGGGGGCUAGCGUUGCUCGGAAUCACUGGGCGUAAAGGGCGCGUAGGCGGCCAUUCAAGUCGGAGGUGAAAGCCCAGGGCUCAACCCUGGAAUUGCCUUCGAUACUGUUUGGCUAGAGACCGGAAGAGGUAAGUGGAACUGCGAGUGUAGAGGUGAAAUUCGUAGAUAUUCGGAAGAACACCAGUGGCGAAGGCGACUUACUGGACACAUAUUGACGCUGAGGUGCGAAAGCGUGGGGAGCAAACAGGG